AUCUCCCCACACAUUGCCCCACAUCUGCCCCAUACUCUGACCCACACAUUGCCCCACAUCUCCCCACACUCUGCCCCACAUCUGCCCCACAUCUCCCCACACUCUGCCCCCCGUCUGCCCCACAUCUCCCCACACUCUGCCCCACAUUUGGCCCCCCAUUUGCGCCCCACCGCGCCCCACACCUCCAUGACUCCGCGUUCCUCCGUCCAAAAGCGAAAGAGAAACUGCGGCGCCGAAGCCCCGCCCACACCCGGAAGUGGGAGCACAAAACCCCGCCCACACCCGGAAGUGGGAGCACAAAACCCCACCCAGACCCGGAAGAGGGAGCACAAAACCCCGCCCACACCCGGAAAUGGGAGCAGAAAGCCCCGCCCACACCCGGAAGUGGGAGCAGAAAGUCCCGUCCACACCCGGAAGUAGGAGCAGAAAGUCCCGCUCAAACCCGGAAGUGGGAGCACAAAACCCCGCCCACACCCGGAAGUGGUGGGUCGGAGGCAUUUAGUGUGUGGGGCGGAGUGUGGGGCGGCCCCAACGGGCUCAGCUGUGGGGCGAUGGGGGGCUGGGGGGGCACUUGUGGGUCUCACUGUGGGGCAGAGGGGUCACUUGUGGGGCAGAGGAAGCACUUAUGGGUCUCACUAUGGGGCAGAGGGGUCACUUGUGGGGCCGGGGGGCAUUUGUGGGUCUCACUAUGGGGCAGAGGGGUCACUUGUGGGUCUCAUUAUAGAGCAGAGGGAGCACUUGUGGGGCUGGGGGGGCACUUGUGGGUCUCACUAUGGGGCAGAGGGGUCACUUGUGGGGCUGGGGGGGGCACUUGUGGGGCUGGGGGGCACUUAUGGGGCUGAGGAGUCAGUUAUAGGUCUCCAUAUGGGGCUGAGGGGGCACUUGUGGGCUGGGGGGCACUUGUGGGUCUCACUGUGGGGCAGAGGAAUCACUUGUGGGGCUGGGGGGUCACUUGUGGGGCUGGGGGGGCACUUGAGGGUCUCACUUUGGGGCUCAGGCCAAUCAGAGAGCGAGUUGCCUCAGAGAGAGGUGGGACGGGAGAUCGGCCCAAUCAGAGAGCGAGUUGCCACAGAUCAGGGUAGGAAGGACGGGAGCUCGGGCCAAUCAGAGAGCGAGUUGCCACAGUGCAGCAUAAGACGGACAGGAGCUCGGGCCAAUCAGAGCGCGAGUUGCCUCAGAGAGAGGUGGGACAGGAGGUCGGACUAAUCAGAGAGCGAGUUGCCUCAGAGAGAGGUGGGACAGGAGAUCGGUCCAAUCAGAGAGCGAGUUGCCACACAGCAGGAUAGGACGGACGGGAGCUCGGACCAAUCAGAGCGCGAGUUACCUCAGAGAGAGCUGGGACGGGACCUCGGCCCAAUCAGAGAGCGAGUUCCCACAGGGCAGGAGAGGACGGACGGGAGUUCGGACGAAUCAGAGAGAGAGAGGCCACAGGGAAGGAUAGGACGGACGGAAGCUCGGGCCAAUCAGAGAGCGAGUUACCUCAGAGAGAGGUGGGACAGGAGAUCGGUCCAAUCAGAGAGCGAGUUGCCACACAGCAGGAUAGGACGGACGGGAGCUCGGACCAAUCAGAGCGCGAGUUACCUCAGAGAGAGCUGGGACGAGAGAUCGGCCCAAUCAGAGAGCGAGUUCCCACAGGGCAGGAGAGGACGGACGGGAGUUCGGACCAAUCAGAGAGCGAGUUGCCACAGGGAAGGAUAGGACGGACGGAAGCUCGGGCCAAUCAGAGAGCGAGUUACCUCAGAGAGAGGUGGGACAGGACCUCGGCCCAAUCAGAGAGCGAGUUGCCACAGGGCAGGAGAGGACGGACGGGAGUUCGGACGAAUCAGAGAGAGAGAGGCCACAGGGAAGGAUAGGACGGACGGAAGCUCGGGCCAAUCAGAGAGCGAGUUACCUCAGAGAGAGGUGGGACGAGAGAUCGGCCCAAUCAGAGAGCGAGUUCCCACAGGGCAGGAGAGGACGGACGGGAGUUCGGACCAAUCAGAGAGCGAGUUGCCACAGGGAAGGAUAGGACGGACGGAAGCUCGGGCCAAUCAGAGAGCGAGUUACCUCAGAGAGAGGUGGGACGAGAGAUCGGCCCAAUCAGAGAGCGAGUUCCCACAGGGCAGGAGAGGACGGACGGGAGUUCGGACCAAUCAGAGAGCGAGUUGCCACAGGGAAGGAUAGGACGGACGGAAGCUCGGGCCAAUCAGAGAGCGAGUUACCUCAGAGAGAGGUGGGACAGGACCUCGGCCCAAUCAGAGAGCGAGUUGCCACAGGGCAGGAGAGAACGGACGGGAGCUCGGACCAAUCAGAGAGCGAGUUACCUCAGAGAGAGGUGGGACGGAGGAGCGCGGCCAACGUCAGGAAGGAAGGUGAGACAUUGAGGUGAAAAGCGCAGAUUGGCGGAGAAAAAAGACCCCCCCAGAGACCCACAGCAACAUAUAAUGUCCCGUGGAGACCCCACAGAGCCCCACAGCGCCCCAAGGAGACCCACAGAGAUCCCAUAGAGACCCACAGAGACUCCACGCUGCGACCCGCCAUGAGACCCCGUUGGUCGCCCCAGGCCCCGCCCCACGGCCCCGCCGGCCAAUCAGAGCGCCCGUAGCCCCACGGAGGGCCGCCCCGGCGAAUAGGGGCAGCGGAACCAUAAACCGUAGGUCAACGCGUGCCCCGCCCACCCGAGCCCCGCCCCCAACCCCGCCCCGGGAGCCGAAAUGGCCGCCAGCGCCCCCUGCAGGAGGAGCAGCAGGGCCGCGUUCAGCAGGAACAGCAGGAAGUGCGGGGUGGAGGCUGAAGGGCCUCUUCCGGUGCUCGCCGCCCCGCUUCCGGUCUGGGGGAGGCCGCUUCCGGUCCCAAAGGUCUCACCCCGGGCACUCAGGAGGCCGCUUCCGGUCGCUGUCGCCCCGCUUCCGGUUUCCGGCUCUCCACUUCCGUUCCCGUCCCUCCACCGUCUCCACUCGGUCAUCCCGGCUCUGAGCUCGGCCGCGCUCCUUCCGCUUUCCGCCACCCCACUUCCGGUUCCCGCCGUCCGUCUUCCGCCUUCCCCCGUCUUCUCCGUCCCCCCGGCGGCCGCCAUCUUGCCUCCACCCCCCCUUCCUCCCCCGCCCCACCGGGAAGCGGCGGCCGCCGCCAUCUUGAACAGCACCGCCCCCCCCCUCGCCGCCAUCUUACCCCCCCACCCCGCCGCCAUCUUGAAGACGACCCACACCGCUCCCAACGCUUUCCAGCCCGGACCGGGAGCCGCCGUCACGUCGGCCACCGAGCCAACCGGAAGCGCUCCCGAGCGGCUCCUGACGUCACUUCCGGCGUGCGGCGGAUGGAGGAGCCUCCCGAGCGGCCCCAGCUCUUCCCCCAUCGCCAAGCCGCACAGCACGAGGGCGAAAGCGUGGGGCGAAGGGCUCAGCCCCACGGCGGAACGGAUGGAGGCGAAGAGGGGAGGGGCGGCGGCCGCCAUGAUGGCGGAAGUGACGGCGCAGCGGGCGGCGGCGCGGAACAGCGCCCCCCAGCGGGCGGAGGCCGGGCGGACCAAUGGCAGCGAAGCGAUCAGCAGCGAUCCGACCAAUAGCGACGUCCAGCGGCCCACCGACGGCAACAGGCGGCUGUGGGGCGGGGUGGGGAAACGACACGUUGGGGCACAAGGAUUGACCCAUAGAUUGACCCAUAGAUUGGCCCAUAGGGACAUAUAGGGACCCUUAGGGACACAUUGAGACCCAUAGGGACACACUGAGACCCA
ensembl:lncRNA